CGGGGUGUGGCCCAGCUUGGUAGGGCGUCUGGUUUGGGACCAGAAGAUCGUCGGUUCAAAUCCGGCCACCCCGACC
rnacentral:tRNA from 2 species